UGGGGAAUAUUGGACAAUGGGCGCAAGCCUGAUCCAGCCAUGCCGCGUGAGUGAUGAAGGCCCUAGGGUUGUAAAGCUCUUUCGCCUGUGAAGAUAAUGACGGUAGCAGGUAAAGAAACCCCGGCUAACUCCGUGCCAGCAGCCGCGGUAAUACGGAGGGGGUUAGCGUUGUUCGGAAUUACUGGGCGUAAAGCGCACGUAGGCGGACCAGAAAGUUGGGGGUGAAAUCCCGGGGGCUCAACCCCGGAACUGCCUCCAAAACUAUUGGUCUAGAGUUCGAGAGAGGUGAGUGGAAUUCCAAGUGUAGAGGUGAAAUUCGUAGAUAUUUGGAGGAACACCAGUGGCGAAGGCGGCUCACUGGCUCGAUACUGACGCUGAGGUGCGAAAGUGUGGGGAGCAAACAGGAUUAGAUACCCUGGUAGUCCACACCGUAAAACGAUGAAUGCCAGUCGUCGGGUAGCAUGCUAUUCGGUGACACACCUAACGGAUUAAGCAUUCCGGCCUGGGGAGUACGGUCGCAAGAUUAAAACUCAAAUGAAUUGA
rnacentral:rRNA from 1 species